GUGCUUGCUUCAGCAGUACACAUACUAAAAAUUGGAACAAUACAGAGAAGGUUGGUAUGGUUCCUGCACUAGGAUGACAUGCAAAUUCAUGAAGCCUUCCAUUUUUUA
ensembl:snRNA U6 U6 spliceosomal RNA